AAACAGACAACUAUAUCCAGUGAGCUCUGUGCACGCCAGGCCAUGCCCAAUGCAUCCAGCAUGAUGGUGUCUCUUUCACAGAGCUUUCUCUACAAGUGCUGGGGCACCGUGCUGAUGUUUUCUCCAGAAGAGAGCAUCAAGCCCCAGCUAUGGCGUCUGGUGGAGAUGGUCAAUUUCAGAGAAGAAGAGGAAAGAGAGGGAUUCGCCCGAGCACUUGGGCUGUGUGCCAGGCAACAUCUAUAUGAGAUUUUUGCCAUCCUGGAGCACUGGGAAGAGGUCGUCAGCAGGGUGCAGCUCCAGCCUUCUGCUGCUGGCUCUCUGGAGGAGCCAGCUUCCAUCGAGCAGCUGAGAAGCCUCCUGCUCCUCACCUAUGGGCACGUGGUCCACUCAGUCCCCACAGACCUCAUCCUAGAGACCAUAGGCUACAAGAUCCUGACUCCCAUGCGAAAACACUAUUUUCUG
ensembl:lncRNA